CGUAGGGUGCAAGCGUUAAUCGGAAUUACUGGGCGUAAAGCGUGCGCAGGCGGUUAUGCAAGACAGAUGUGAAAUCCCCGGGCUCAACCUGGGAACUGCAUUUGUGACUGCAUAGCUAGAGUACGGUAGAGGGGGAUGGAAUUCCGCGUGUAGCAGUGAAAUGCGUAGAUAUGCGGAGGAACACCGAUGGCGAAGGCAAUCCCCUGGACCUGUACUGACGCUCAUGCACGAAAGCGUGGGGAGCAAACAGGAUUAGAUACCCUGGUAGUCCACGCCCUAAACGAUGUCAACUGGUUGUUGGGAGGGUUUCUUCUCAGUAACGUAGCUAACGCGUGAAGUUGACCGCCUGGGGAGUACGGCCGCAAGGUUG
rnacentral:rRNA from 1 species